UACGAAGGGGGCUAGCGUUGCUCGGAAUCACUGGGCGUAAAGGGUGCGUAGGCGGGUCUUUAAGUCAGGGGUGAAAUCCUGGAGCUCAACUCCAGAACUGCCUUUGAUACUGAGGAUCUUGAGUAUGGGAGAGGUGAGUGGAACUGCGAGUGUAGAGGUGAAAUUCGUAGAUAUUCGCAAGAACACCAGUGGCGAAGGCGGCUCACUGGCCCAUAACGUGACGCUGAGGCACGAAAGCGUGGGGAGCAACAGG
rnacentral:rRNA from 1 species